CAACAACUUGAAGCUGCAGUCUCCAAUGCAAUAACACAGGGUGGUCCUACCUAUGGCAGGAAAAUGAUGACUGGGAGUCUUGCAGCUGCAGGUGUCUUUGCAUCAGAGGGUCGUGUUGGAGCUGUUUUGCAACAUUCACCCACCUUACCAUAAGGCACGAUGCCAGGGAGCAAGGAACCUCAACCCUCUUCCUUACCAUGCAGCCUAUGUGGGUCACAAAAUCCACAUGGACCAAAAUGAGAAGAUUGUCAUGUUUGGCGUGACUCAUGUGCUGGCAAUAGAUGGCUUCUCCAGCAAAAUUGUUGGACAAGCUACUAUGCCUGUAAAGAACAACCUCACCAUCUACAAUGACGUUUACAGGAGUGCAGUAAUGGAAUAUGGGAUGUGGGACCAGGUCAGAG